rnacentral:lncRNA from 1 species
GACAGAUAUAGCUAUAAAUAUGAUCAUAACUUGUACAGAGACCUCAUUGGCAAAUUACUAUAUAUACAAAAAUGAUUGACAACAUGCAUGCUACUUUACAGUUAAAAUUCACGAUAACACAAUUCUGCAAAGACUAUGAGCCUAAAAUAACAAGACUUCUGGAAGUACUGAGCAGAUGGAUGGCCACCAUAAUCUAUCACCUUGUAAAC